rnacentral:rRNA from 1 species
GGGCUUGACAUCCCACGAACCUGCUGAAGGGCAGGAGUGCCCGCAAGGGAGCGCGGAGACAGGUGGUGCAUGGCUGUCGUCAGCUCGUGUCGUGAGAUGUUGGGUUAAGUCCCGCAACGAGCGCAACCCUCACCCCUUGUUGCCAUCAGGUAAUGCUGGGCACUCUAGGGGAACUGCCCCGGUCAACGGGGAGGAAGGCGGGGAUGACGUCAAGUCAUCAUGCCCCUUACGCCCUGGGCUACACACGUGCUACAAUGGUCGGUACAAAGGGAUGCGAGACCGCGAGGUGGAGCCAAACCCAAAAAGCCGGCCUAAGUUCAGAUUGGAGUCUGCAACUCGACUCCAUGAAGGAGGAAUCGCUAGUAAUCGCGUAUCAGCACGACGCGGUGAAUACGUUCCCGGGCCUUGUACACACCGCCCGUCACACCACGAAAGCCAGCUGUACUCGAAGUCGCUGAG